AGCGAACGCUGGCGGCAGGCUUAACACAUGCAAGUCGAGCGGGCAUCCUUGUGGUGUCAGCGGCAGACGGGUGAGUAACGCGUGGGAACGUGCCCUUCGGUUCGGAAUAACUCAGGGAAACUUGAGCUAAUGCCGGAUACGUGCGAGAGCAGAAAGGUUUAUCUGCCGAAGGAUCGGCCCGCGUCUGAUUAGCUAGUUGGUGAGGUUACGGCUCACCAAGGCGACGAUCAGUAGCUGGUCUGAGAGGAUGAUCAGCCACACUGGGACUGAGACACGGCCCAGACUCCUACGGGAGGCAGCAGUGGGGAAUAUUGGACAAUGGGGGCAACCCUGAUCCAGCCAUGCCGCGUGAGUGAUGACGGCCUUAGGGUUGUAAAGCUCUUUUCUCCGGGACGAUAAUGACGGUACCGGAGGAAUAAGCCCCGGCUAACUUCGUG
rnacentral:rRNA from 1 species